UGAAAUACACGGUUAAAAUAAAUAAGGUAAGAAUAAAUUACACAGUAAAUCAAGGAGCCAAAGGUUUCUAAUUAUUGGUCCAUGAAUGAACCAAGUCAGAAAAGCUAAGGAAAUUCUUCGACCAAGACCAAGUAACGCGGAAAUCCGUAAAUAAGGAAAGAAACCGAUCAGACUUACACAAAGGAAGUCUGAAAUCAUACAAAAGAAAUUGAAAGUCAUUUAGAGGGGAAGUUUAGCACAUUUAAAGAGAAAACCAGUAUUAGGCAUGCGAGGCUGAAUUUAGGACAAAGAAAAAAUGUCAUGCAAUUUCCAAAUAAGUAAGUAGUAGACAAUAGGGACAUGGUAAUCACAGGGUAACUCAAUAAUGGAGAAGAGAGAGUAUCAAAUAGCAUACAAAGGAUUCAGUAUAAAGACCUUAGAAGAGUUUAGGAAGGAAUCAGAAUCUCUUAAAGAAAUAAAGGUUGAAACAAAGAUUUUGAAACUUAAUUGAGCAUAGAUGAAACAACUUUAGAAACUCGAAAUAGGUCCAAAGAAGUUAUGGUUUUGAAACCAAACGAGUUUAGAGAUGAAGAACAAGCAAAUCACAUAGCCAAUGAUCUUAAAACUUGGAUGAACCCUCAAAGUCUAGGGUCUUUACCAUUAGUCGAUUGUAGAGGAAAAAGAAAGUAAAUCAGGUAGAAAUACUAACUAAAUAAGUUCAGAGGUCUCAAAAGGAACUGAGGCCUUUAACCUGCAUUUUUCAUAAGGAGAAACAAAUAUGAAACAUAAUAGAAGAACAACAUGCGAAACGCGAUAGAGGAAUUUAUAAGAACAUAGUAGAAGAAACACAUGGGAAAAAAGUGGAAGAACUAGUAAGAACACAGUAGAAGAAACAUUUAAAGAAGCACAAUAGAAGAGACUAAUAAGAAACAUAGCACAAGAAACACACAAGGAAACACAGUAGAAGAAACUAAUAAGAAAUAUAGUAGAAGAAACACACAAGAGAAAAAGAAAAUCAGAGAAACAUAUAAAUAACUUAACAAAAACCCCAAAUCGGGAAAAGUAAAGGUUUUGAAAGUAUAGUUAUUUGAAAGAAAUUUGGGGAAACCGUUUAAAAACUCAGGGAAAACACGGAUGCAGAACAAUCUAAAAAAUCAUAAGAACCUCAAAAAUUAGGGUUUCCGAGGGAACCCCAAUGGUGAGAAAGGCUUGGAUAGUCGUUGAUCUAAGUAGGAGGAGUCGAGGUCAGGCUCGAACAACUAUGGUUUGUCGGAGCAAGGCUGAAGAUGGCCAUAGAAAUUGAAUCAAACAAGGUCUGGGCAAAGCAACUUCGUGGUCAGGCCUUAAAAGUUAGUAAUCAAGAGUGUAGGAGUCAUAGAAGGCCGGUAGGUGGUGAGACCACCAUGGAUUCAGGCAAGGCGAGCCGGAGCAAGGCUGGAGAUGGCCGUAGAACUCGAAUCAAAUGAAGGCUGGACCAAGCUUCUUCGUGGUCAGGCCUUGAAUCUUUAGGAACCAGGCGGGUAGGAGUUGUAUGAGUUUGGUAUAAGACUUUGAUGGACAUAGAAGCCAUAGGUUCAGGUGAUUUUAGGGUGGAAUAAAGGGAGUCGGCCAGGGUUUCAGAGAGAGAGCUUGGGCAAGUGGGAAUCCAGGGGCGGUUACUGGUGAGAAAUGAGUAGGGUUUGGGGGGUAUUGGUAAAUUAAAAAGGAAAGGAAGAGUGUGAGCACAGCUUGAAUUAAAAGGGGGAUAAGGUGGGUUAUUUUAAAGGGUCAUGGGUUGGGUAGAUUUAAGAAUUGGGCUGGGUAAUUGAAAUUAAAAUUGGGUUCAAUUAGGGGAGCCAAAUCUGGCCAAAAUUGAAAUACCAAAGGGCUAAAAUUUAAAUAGCUAUUUUUCCUUAUCUAUUUUAUAAAAACUAGUAAAAUUGUCACACCUCCUUUUGGCUACUACAACCCGGCGAAGGGCAUAGAUAAGGAAGUUUUUUCAACUAAAGGACAAUAGAAACGGGAUUCAAUUAUUUAAGAGAAUUUCAGAGUCGCCAUUUGGGAGAUUUAUGGUGUCCCAAGUCACCGCUUAGAAUCUAUAAUCGAGGAAAGAAUGACUCUGUUUAACAGUCCGCGAACCAAAAAGCCGAGUAAGGAUUAUGUUAACGCGGGAGAAGUUGUUAGGCAUUCCCGGGUUACAUGGUUCUAGCACGGUCGCUCAACUGUUAUAUUUGGCUUAAAUUACCUGAUUUUAUACAAUUAUGAACCUAUGUGCAUUUUUUAAUCUUUUUAACCACUUUUAUUAUUUUUUUAAAAGAGAAUUACAACGUCGUUAAAACAUCUCUCGAACCACGUCACAUAAAUGCACCCGUACUUUUGACACAUUCCAAAUUCGUUGAGAUUAAGAUUUGGGUCACAUAAAUGUGCACCCGAAUUUAGGAGAGGUAAAUUAUUAAUAUAAUGCGCCUAAAGCAACUACGCACUUUUAAGUUUGCGAGGGCCAUGAAAAUUCAACUAAAUGGCAGAUUUAUUAAAGGAAAAGCAAUUAGUUAAACUAUGGUUAUUUAUUAUUACAACUAAUUAAAUUAGGAAUCACAACCAUGCCACGGAAACCGUAUCAAUAGUUGCAACGAUUUAAGUUUAAAGCAAAAUUCAAAUAUUUAUUAAUCCGAAUUUUAAGCCCAAAUCCCCACAGUCCAAUUCAAUAUCCAAAAAAUUUCUUUACAUUUUUUUUAUCCAAACCAUAAAGUUUGAGACAUACGGUGCAAUACCAUGAUGGAUGCCUAAUGUUCAACUAAAAUAAAUGAAAGGCACAAUAGUUAUUUUCAUUUUUUAAAUAACAAAUCAUUUAUUUCUGGACAACUUGGCGGAUAACACCCAUCCCCUAGUGAUGUUCCUUUUCUACUCCCUUGUUUCCAGACCAAAAAAAUAAUUUAAAAUGUUCAGCAUCACAAAAGAGUUCAGACUAGAAUUCAGUAGAUACAAGGACGGUUUAAUUACUAAGAAACUCUAUCAGACUUGAGAUUUACAAACGGCAACAAUAAAUUGAGAACAAAUUUUAGCUCAAUACUCAGAACCAAGCUAAGAACACUAGUCUAAUUCAUUCAACUUGAUUAAGUCAAAACGAUCUAGUCUAAGUUUAGUUAUAACUCGAACUUUUUUCAAAAUUUUCAGCACAUAUGGACCUUAAGCUCAUCACAGCCACUCUAUUGGCCAGAAUUAAGCAUUCUUCGCAAAUUCGAUACAUUUGUAAUUCCCCACCAGAAUUUGACGACACUGAUAUAAGCUAAACAGGUUUAAAUUUUCUAACAUGCAAAUAACUCAGAAAAGGAUUCAACCGUAUAAAGAUAACAAAUGUAUCGAAAUAUCAUGGAGAGGAAUAAAAGACACUGUUCAAAUUAUGUCCAAGUAAUACUUGAAUUCAUAGUUGAAUACCUGGUUGGGAAAUAAACAAUUGAAAGAGCCAAAGAAAAAACACAACAAAGAGGUCUGAAGUUCAGCAAACACGAGUAGAAAUUAGACUGGAACCUCGAGCAAUAGCUGGGAACUCGACGCGGCACCGUGAAUCUCGAAUCGAACAUGAACUCAAACCCAAAUCUCAGUCAAAUUCCAUUUUUGCGACAAACCCAGUCAAAGAUCCUCUCCCUCCGUCCCGAUUUCUGUUCAUUCUCUCUGCUCUGUGUAUGUAUGCGUGUU
rnacentral:lncRNA from 1 species